rnacentral:rRNA from 1 species
AGCGAACGCUGGCGGCAGGCCUAACACGUGCAAGUCGAACGAACUCUUCGGAGUUAGUGGCGGACGGGUGAGUAACACGUGGGAACGUGCCUUUUGGUUCGGAAUACCUCAGGGAAACUUGUGCUAAUACCGAAUGUGCCCUUCGGGGGAAAGAUUUAUCGCCAUUAGAGCGGCCCGCGUCUGAUUAGCUAGUUGGUGAGGUACCGGCUCACCAAGGCGACGAUCAGUAGCUGGUCUGAGAGGAUGACCAGCCACACUGGGACUGAGACACGGCCCAGCCUCCUACGGGAGGCAGCAGUGGGGAAUCUUGCGCAAUGGGCGAAAGCCUGACGCAGCCAUGCCGGGUGAAUGAUGAAGGUCUUAGGAUUGUAAAAUUCUUUCACCGGGGACGAUAAUGACGGUACCCGGAGAAGAAGCCCCGGCUAACUUCGUG